rnacentral:misc_RNA from 1 species
AAAUGCGAUAAGUAGUGUGCAUUGCAGAAUUCAGUGAAUCAUCGAAUCUUUGAACGCACAUUGCGCCCCUUGGUAUUCCAUGGGGCAUGCCUGUUCGAGCGUCAUUUGUACCCUCAAGCUCUGCUUGGUGUUGGGUGUUUGUCCCGUCUCCGCGCGUGGACUCGCCCCAAAGUGAUUGGCAGCCGGCGUACUGGUCCCGGAGCGCAGCACAAGUCGCGCAAACGAGUGCCUUGGUACGGCGGCGUCCAUAAGCCCCUCUCUCACGCUCUUGACCUCGGAUCAGGUAGGGAUACCCGCUGAACUUAAGC